rnacentral:lncRNA from 1 species
UAAUGCGACAACCAAAAAAGAGAUGAUUGAUUGAAUCAAGCACCUCAUUGCAAAAAGGGCAGGAAGCAGCAUCAAUCCUACCAUAAGACAUGAGAAGAGACUGAGUAGGUAACCUCCUAUUGGUGAUGAGCCACAGGUUCAGUUGGUAGCGAGGCAGGAUGGCAUUACUCCAAAUGAAACAAUGCCAAUUGACUCUGGCCUUCUUCCUCCUUAAGGCCUCCCAAGCCGAGGCCACCGAGAACAAGCCCGUCGAGUCCUCCCUCCAACAGAACCGAUCUUGGGUUCCAAACAAGGAAGGAAGUGGCGAACCCCAAGACUCAAUCUCUGAU